rnacentral:rRNA from 1 species
GUGUACAGCCAUGGCCCCCUGAACAUGCCCAAUCUCGUCUGAUCUCAGAAGCUAAGCAGGGUCAGGCCUGGUUAGUACUUGGAUGGGAGACCACCUAAGAAUACCAGGUGCUGUAGGUG